AGCGAACGCUGGCGGCAGGCCUAACACAUGCAAGUCGAACGGAUCCUUCGGGAUUAGUGGCGGACGGGUGAGGAACACGUGGGAACGUGCCUUUUGGUUCGGAACAACUCAGGGAAACUUGAGCUAAUACCGGAUAAGCCCUUCGGGGGAAAGAUUUAUCGCCAUUAGAGCGGCCCGCGUCUGAUUAGCUAGUUGGUGAGGUAAAGGCUCACCAAGGCGACGAUCAGUAGCUGGUCUGAGAGGAUGAUCAGCCACACUGGGACUGAGACACGGCCCCGACUCCUACGGGAGGCAGCAGUGGGGAAGCUUGCGCAAUGGGCGAAAGCCUGACGCAGCCAUGCCGCGUGAAUGAUGAAGGUCUUAGGAUUGUAAAAUUCUUUCACCGGGGACGAUAAUGACGGUACUCGGAGAAGAAGCCCCGGCUAACUUCGUGCCAGCCGCCGCGGUAAUAC
rnacentral:rRNA from 1 species